rnacentral:lncRNA from 1 species
CUUGAGCGACCAUCUGAUAUUUCUCCUUCUGUGCCUUCUCGUCUCCCCUGUUCUCCACCUUAAAGGCCCCUUGCAGAACCUCAGCUUGGGGAGUUAGGGGCCCCCAUCAAGGUGCCUUAGUUUGGCCUUAAUAUUGGGGAAACUCUGGGAGGAAAAGUAGGUCUCCCAUCUGGAGCCUCAGGUCCAGGUUAGUAUAUUGCAAUAAACCCUGGUCAGGGGUCUAAAAAUGCUGAAGGUUUCAUUCUUAUCUUGGAAGAUUUCCUGGAGCCUUUCAUAAUUGCUGGCCUUGUGGGCUGCCUUUCUCAGUCCUGCCAUGAGGCAAGUAUGAAUUGGUUUCUACGAGUCACUCCUCUAGGCAAAUUACAAUCCCAACUGGGGUCCCGAUCAGGGACUGCCUUAGUGCCCAUCGGAUGGCAGGGGAGGUCUGAUGUACCUCAUCAGCAUAAUUUCUAGCUUGCUCUCAAACUCGCCUGCGGUCCUCAGGCAGGAGGGUGUUAGACAAGAUCAUAUGGACAUCGUGGAAGGUCAAAUACCUGACUUAUCAAUAUCAAAUACCUGACUUAUAUGAUUGAGUCAGGUAUUGAAACUCUUUGGUCUAUGUGUUGGGACUUGAAGUGUAGGACCCAAGCUGCUUUUCCAUCUGUGAAAGAUCUGACAAAGAGAAAGGCACAUGAACCCGAUUACACCAUCCACCCAGCCGCCUCGCGUAGAGGACACAGAGAUGCAGGUUGAGCAGUGGUAAUCCGUGAGUGUGUGGCAGGAGGACAGAGGGCGGAGGGGCGUGGGGACAGUUGCUGCAGAGGCUUCAAUAGAAACAGAAUUGUGGCAUGGUGGGGGCUCAUCUGCUGGGUGGAAGGAGAAGGAGUCCUGGGUAGGGUCUUCUGUCCCUUUGGAAGCAGGCGCAGAGGAGGUGAGAGCUAAGAGGACUUGUGCGGGUGAGCAGGAGUUGCAGAGAGAGGGCUUAGAACGUAGGGAGGAGAAGGCCUGAACGUAUGAAAUCUCUUUCCAUUUUCCCAAACACUCAAGAUAGUUGAAAAGAUCCCUGAUGAUAUUGGGAUCUAGAGUGUCAUUAAGCGGCCAUUUAGAGUCGUCAUCCAAAGGAUAUUGAGGCCAGAUCUGAUUGCACAAGUGGAUGAGUUUCUGGGGGUUUAGGUCCAGGGUGAGAGAGAGAGACCCUAGGUUAGCCAGGAGGCAGCCCAGGGGGCUAUGGGAGGGCAUGGACGAGGAGCUGCCCAUGGUGAGACAGAGGAGGUGAGUUUAGAGGUGGGGCGUCCCCCAGUCUCUAAUAUUAUCUAGUUGAGAGGAUGGUUAAGCUCAGGGGCUCGUCACCACUGCUGAGUAAGCAUUGGUGAAGUAGCCCAUAGGGGCACUCGGGCACCUGGCUGGGACUGCGUAUUAGGGGCAGAAGCCCGUAGAGAUGAACCCACAGCUAAGAGGUUGUCUCACCAGGAACAAUUCCCAAUUGUCCUCGGUGUUUUUUUUCUCAAAAUCCAGGAUCUAAAUGAAAAACCACCUAUAGACCUGGUCAACAGUAGGGAUCAGCCGUCGCUGUGAGAACUGUGGUUGGGGGUGCCCACCCACACAGGAACCCUAGGAGUGCAGGACGAUCAGCGGUCACUUCCCAGGACCCAUAGGUCGUUUAGGUCGACCAGAGACAGGGGUCUUCCUUGUAAUAUCUGGUGGUGGGUGAAGAGAGGGUGCUCUGCAGAAUGGAGGGCCUGGUCCCAGGAUGGAAUCCAGAUCAGGGCCCAGGGAUGCUCAGUGACCCUCAAAGAGGGAAGUGGGCACACCGGGGAACCUGAUCUUGGGUUUUGGUACCAAAGAGAAGGGAAAGUGAGAAGUGAAGGCGGAGACCAGGCAUCGACAGACACAGAGUUUACUUGUCAGAGCUGACAGACAAAGGCCACCUCUCUGUGGGAGACAAGGGCAAAGUAGCUUGAGUUCUGGGACUUUAUGGGGAGGCUCAGGAGUCAGAGGGGGGUCCUAAUGCGGGU